AGAUGUGUGGGGGCGCCGAGUAACCCAUAAAAUCAACGCCAUGUGAGUUGCCAGCAAUACCCUGUUCUCCAGUCCAGCAGUGAUUAUAAGCGGUGGGUAGGGGGCGCUAUCCCACUGGACUGGAGAUGUUCGAGGCCAAACAUCGAGCGGUGGAGAAGAAGGAGUCAAGCACAGAGACGGAUGAGGGCCUGGGCAGCAGCAGUAAACACUUCGGCUCCGGGUCGCUGGGCUCCGGUUCGGGCGGGUCAGUUUACCUCUCCGACAGCCAGGACUGGGUGGUGUCUCCGAGCUGCUCCCCCGACGAGGGCCCGGCCCCCCACAGCGCCAUCUCCCCCAUGCUGGCAGAGGAGACCUUUCGCUACAUGACGUAUCUCGCUUUGGAGCCCAACUCUUACUCCCAAACGGGCUCCCAAGGCCUGACUAAAGGUAUCCCUCCUCUUCUCUCUUACCCACUGCUCUGCCUGCUUUACCCCUUUCACUUUU
rnacentral:lncRNA from 1 species